GUGCUUGCUUUGGCAGCACAUAUACUAAAAUUGGAAUGAUACAGAGAAGAUUAGCAUGCUCCUGUGCAAGUAUGACACACAAAUUCAUGAACAGUUCCAUAUUUUU